UACGUAGGGUGCAAGCGUUAAUCGGAAUUACUGGGCGUAAAGCGUGCGCAGGCGGUUUGUUAAGUCUGAUGUGAAAGCCCCGGGCUCAACCUGGGAACUGCAUUGGAAACUGGCAAGCUCGAGUAUGGCAGAGGGGGGGUGGAAUUCCGCGUGUAGCAGUGAAAUGCGUAGAGAUGCGGAGGAACACCGAUGGCGAAGGCAGCCCCCUGGGCCAAUACUGACGCUCAGGCACGAAAGCGUGGGGAGCAAACAGG
rnacentral:rRNA from 1 species